GCCCGCUGUUGUAGUCUAUCUGUUCUUAAUUUUCUUUAUAAAAUGGCUGGAGUACUCUUCUCCUUUUUCAUUAAAAAAGUAAUUUAUUGAAUAUACAAGGUAUAUCCAUUUUAUUGUAGAUUUGAUAUAAGCGUGACAAAUUCAGUUGAGAUUUGUUGAUUCUAAAGUGAGUGAAGAGUAAUUCUUUAUACACCGUAUGUGAUAUAGAAAAAAUAUAUUAUCCCAUCUG
rnacentral:lncRNA from 1 species